rnacentral:rRNA from 1 species
UACAGAGGUCCCAAGCGUUGUUCGGAUUUACUGGGCGUAAAGGGUGCGUAGGCGGUCGGGUAAGUCUGGUGUGAAAUCUCCGAGCUUAACUCGGAAAUGGCAUCGGAUACUAUCCGGCUCGAGGGUUGGAGGGGGGACUGGAAUUCUCGGUGUAGCAGUGAAAUGCGUAGAUAUCGAGAGGAACACCAGUGGCGAAGGCGAGUCCCUGGACAACUCCUGACGCUGAGGCACGAAAGCCAGGGGAGCAAACGGG